GGAAAGGGAAAUGUGGCAAAGAAAGAGGGAAAGAGAGGGGAAGGUUGUCCCUUGUGCGGCAAGGAAAGGGAAAUAGGUAAGGUGGGCUUCCUUGUGCGGCAAGGAAGAGAAAGGGAAAGGAGAGGUGCGGCAUCCCUCUUUGACUGAGAUUAAUCUUCCAAAAUCUUGUAAUUAAGUAUCCUAAUAUCUUUAGGAAGCCUCCUUAUGGCUGGAACCUUGGUAGAUUGGGAUUAGGAUUUGACUAAGUCAAAAUAGGGUAGUUUGACUAGUCAAUCUUUUUUGUUGCUGGAUUCCUUGUCCUCUUUUGUCUUGAAUUUAUUUUCUUCUUUUCUUUGGCACAUUCCUAGCUUCCUUUGGUCUUCAAUUUCGUCCAACCACUUUGUUCCAAGCAUAUGCUAUCCAUUCCAUGCCCAAAAACUGCUCUAAAAGGCACCAAAAUGCACUUUCUUGCCACUUUAGCUCUUUGGACCUGAAAACACACGAAAAUAGCUUAAAAAACUAAAAUAACUAGGAACUAACAACAUAAAUGCACAAAAACAAGCUAAGGCGCAUAAAUAUGCUCCUAUCAUAGGGCCAUUAGAAUGAGUACUCCAAAGAUCCAAAGCUUAUUGGGCGUCAAAAGUAACAAUUUUUCCAUAUGGAGUGUAUUUGGACUGUUUUCGGCAUUCAUGGGAACAAACGACCAUGCGUUUGACACCCUUUGAAACUUAAGAAAAUAAAUACAUAUAAUACACUACUACAACCAUAAGAAUGAGUAUUUAAAAGAUUAAAACUUUGUUGGGUGUCAAAAGUACACAGCUUUACUAUAUGGAGGGUAUUUGGACUGUUUUCAGCAUUAAUAUGGUCGAACGAGCGUGCCUUUUGACAACUUUUGGAACUAAGAAAAUAAACACAUAUAAUACACUACGAGGACCAUAACAAUGAGUGUUCAAAAGAUCAAAACAU
rnacentral:lncRNA from 1 species